GCAUCCGUGGUGUAGUGGUUAUCAGAUCCGUUUAACACGCGGAAGGUCCCAAGUUCGAAACCUGGCGUUUGCA
rnacentral:tRNA from 1 species